rnacentral:rRNA from 1 species
GACGUAGGAUGCAAGCGUUGUUCGGAUUUAUUGGGCGUAAAGCGAGCGUAGGUGGCUAGAUAAGUCUGGUGUUAAAGCUAGGGGCUCAACCCCUGUGUUGCACUGGAAACUGUCUGGCUUGAGGAUGGUAGGGGAAGGUGGAAUUCCGAGUGUAGCGGUGAAAUGCGUAGAUAUUCGGAGGAACACCGGUGGCGAAGGCGGUUCUCUGGGCCUUACCUGACGCUGAGGAGCGAAAGCGUGGGGAGCGAACAGG